CACUCAUAAAAAAUAUCUAUUUCUUUUUCCUAUCACUUUCUCUCUCCUGCGUGGGUCCCACCCACACCCAAUCAGAAUUCAAUUCAAUUCACUCUCUUCUCUCUCUCCCUCACGCCUCACCCAUUCUCUCCCUCAAACUCUCGACUCUUUCUCUCUUCCCCUCCAAUACCCAUUUUCUUCUUCUUCUGGUACAUCAACAAGGAUCAUCACCAUCCUUCUUCUUUCUCCUUCACACAAGAGAACCAUCAUCACCAUGCUUCUUCACUCCCUUCCCACGGCCAACCACCGCCACCACCGCGUCCCAAAACGCCGCCACCACGCAUUUUCCUCCUCUGCUCCGGCGAGCCAGACGCGAGCACCACCAUCUCCACGCCCUCAUCCUCACGCAAACGACCACAGCACCACCACGAGCUUCAGCCACCAUGGAUGCGAAAAGCACAGAGAGUGAAACCCUAAUUUCAGCCACCUUCAAGCUCCGAUCUCCGGCGAACCACUGAGCUUUUGGAGAAAUCAACACCACCACUGAACUCCUCUCACCGUCCGCUACAAAACCCCUAAAGAAAUUCUCCAAUCCGACAACCUCCACUGGAAACCGCCGCUAGCCGCCGCCAACCACCGUCUUCUCCGGCCAACCUUCGCCGGAGGACUCACUGAGAAGCUCUUCUCCUCCUCUGGCCGAAUUGAUGGUCAAUUUUUGUUUUGUUAGCCUUCAGAGAGAGGGGAGACCACGACCAGAGAAGAUGGAGGAGUUCAGAUUAGCCCCACAGCCUUGAGAACUGAGGUAGUGGGAGAAAGACUUGAACACUGUACUUAGAAAUUAUGUGACAGUAGAGGACCACCCUAUUGCAUCUUUAGUGUAUAGCUUUUGUUCAAUGUUAGUCCAGGGUUAAUGGGUUUUCUGAAUUAGAAAAUAGAAAUUGGAAUUCAAUUUUAGCAAAUGUAUCAAAGUGCUUAAAUUGAUCAUGGCCUUGCCCUGGAUAGUUUUGGGGAUAGCCCUAGGAAAAUAUAUAUAUAUGCUUUCAUGUACCAAGAUGUAUUUGUAUCAUUUCAAACCUUAUGCUACUGCUGUACUUGUUGAGUUUUGCGAACUUAUUGAUUUGAGUGGAUAAAAA